rnacentral:rRNA from 1 species
UACGAAGGGGGGCUAGCGUUGCUCGGAAUCACUGGGCGUAAAGGGUGCGUAGGCGGGUCUUUAAGUCAGGGGUGAAAUCCUGGAGCUCAACUCCAGAACUGCCUUUGAUACUGAAGAUCUUGAGUUCGGGAGAGGUGAGUGGAACUGCGAGUGUAGAGGUGAAAUUCGUAGAUAUUCGCAAGAACACCAGUGGCGAAGGCGGCUCACUGGCCCGAUACUGACGCUGAGGCACGAAGGCGUGGGGAGCAAACAGG